AUUGAACGCUGGCGGCAUGCUUUACACAUGCAAGUCGAACGGUAACAGGCCUUCGGGUGCUGACGAGUGGCGCACGGGUGAGUAAUGCAUCGGAACGUACCCAGAGGUGGGGGAUAACGCAGCGAAAGCUGUGCUAAUACCGCAUGUGAUCUGAGGAUGAAAGCGGGGGACCGAGCAGCAAUGUUUGGCCUCGCGCCUUUGGAGCGGCCGAUGUCGGAUUAGCUAGUUGGUGGGGUAAAGGCCUACCAAGGCGACGAUCCGUAGCUGGUCUGAGAGGACGACCAGCCACACUGGGACUGAGACACGGCCCAGACUCCUACGGGGGGCAGCAAUGGGGAAUUUGGACAAUGGGCGCAAGCCUGAUCCAGCAAUGCCGCGUGCGGGAAGAAGGCCUUCGGGUUGUAAACCGCUUUUGGCAGGAACGAAACGGUGUCCGCUAAUACCGGGCGCUAAUGACGGUACCUGCAGAAUAAGCACCGGCUAACUACGUG
rnacentral:rRNA from 1 species